rnacentral:rRNA from 1 species
CAUGCCGUAAACGAUGAGUGCUAAGUGUUAGGGGGUUUCCGCCCCUUAGUGCUGCAGCUAACGCAUUAAGCACUCCGCCUGGGGAGUACGACCGCAAGGUUGAAACUCAAAGGAAUUGACGGGGGCCCGCACAAGCGGCGGAGCAUGCGGAUUAAUUCGAUGCAACGCGAAGAACCUUACCAAGGCUUGACAUAUAGAGGAAACGGCCAGAGAUGGUCGCCCCGCAAGGUCUCUAUACAGGUGG